rnacentral:rRNA from 1 species
AACAAACGCUGGCGGCGUGCCUAAUACAUGCAAGUCGAACGGGGAAAGCUUUCGGGUGAGUACUAGUGGCGCACGGGUGAGGAACGCGUGGAUAAUCUGCCUUAGAGUGGGGGAUAUCUAGUCGAAAGAUUAGCUAAUACCGCAUAAGACCACAGGAGCUGCGGCUCAAGGGGUCAAAGGUUUUUCGCUCUAAGAUGAGUCCGCGUAAGAUUAGCUAGUUGGUGAGGUAACGGCUCACCAAGGCGACGAUCUUUAACUGGUCUGAGAGGAUGAUCAGUCCCACUGGGACUGAGACACGGUCCAGACUCCUACGGGAGGCAGCGGUAGGGAAUAUUUCACAAUGGAGGAAACUCUGAUGCAGCGACGCCGCGUGAGUGAUGAAGGCCUUCGGGUCGUAAAGCUCUGUCGCAGGGGAAUAACACAAUGAAGGUACCCUGUAAGAAAGGAUCGGCUAACUUCGUGCCAGCCGCCGCCGUAACAC